AGCGGCGGAUGGGUGAGUAACACGUGGGGAACCUGCCCCUAAGUCUGGGAUACCAUUUGGAAACAGGUGCUAAUACCGGAUAAUAAAGCAGAUCGCAUGAUCAGCUUUUGAAAGGCGGCGUAAGCUGUCGCUAAGGGAUGGCCCCGCGGUGCAUUAGCUAGUUGGUAAGGUAACGGCUUACCAAGGCGACGAUGCAUAGCCGAGUUGAGAGACUGAUCGGCCACAUUGGGACUGAGACACGGCCCAAACUCCUACGGGAGGCAGCAGUAGGGAAUCUUCCACAAUGGACGCGAGUCUGAUGGAGCAACGCCGCGUGAGUGAAGAAGGUUUUCGGAUCGUAAAACUCUGUUGCUGGUGAAGAAGGAUAGAGGUAGUAACUGGCCUUUAUUUGACGGUAAUCAACCAGAAAGUCACGGCUAACUACGUGCCAGCAGCCGCGGUAAUACGUAGGUGGCAAGCGUUGUCCGGAUUUAUUGGGCGUAAAGCGAGCGCAGGCGGAAAAAUAAGUCUAAUGUGAAAGCCCUCGGCUUAACCGAGGAACUGCAUCGGAAACUGUUUUUCUUGAGUGCAGAAGAGGAGAGUGGAACUCCAUGUGUAGCGGUGGAAUGCGUAGAUAUAUGGAAGAACACCAGUGGCGAAGGCGGCUCUCUGGUCUGCAACUGACGCUGAGGCUCGAAAGCAUGGGUAGCGAACAGGAUUAGAUACCCUGGUAGUCCAUGCCGUAAACGAUGAGUGCUAAGUGU
rnacentral:rRNA from 1 species